rnacentral:rRNA from 1 species
GUGGGGAAUUUUGGACAAUGGGCGCAAGCCUGAUCCAGCAAUGCCGCGUGCAGGAAGAAGGCCUUCGGGUUGUAAACUGCUUUUGUACGGAACGAAACGGUCCGGGUUAAUACCCUGGGCUAAUGACGGUACCGUAAGAAUAAGCACCGGCUAACUACGUGCCAGCAGCCGCGGUAAUACGUAGGGUGCAAGCGUUAAUCGGAAUUACUGGGCGUAAAGCGUGCGCAGGCGGUUUUGUAAGACAGGCGUGAAAUCCACGGGCUCAACCUGGGAAUUGCGCUAGUGACUGCAAUGCUGGAGUGCGGCAGAGGGGGAUGGAAUUCCGCGUGUAGCAGUGAAAUGCGUAGAUAUGCGGAGGAACACCGAUGGCGAAGGCAAUCCCCUGGGCCUGCACUGACGCUCAUGCACGAAAGCGUGGGGAGCAAACAGGAUUAGAUACCCCGGUAGUCC